rnacentral:rRNA from 1 species
CCUACGGGUGGCAGCAGUCGAGAAUCAUUCACAAUGGGGGAAACCCUGAUGGUGCGACGCCGCGUGGGGGAAUGAAGGUCUUCGGAUUGUAAACCCCUGUCAUGUGGGAGCAAAUUAAAAAGAUAGUACCACACGAGGAAGAGACGGCUAACUCUGUGCCAGCAGCCGCGGUAAUACAGAGGUCUCAAGCGUUGUUCGGAAUCACUGGGCGUAAAGCGUGCGUAGGCUGUUGCGUAAGUCGUGUGUGAAAGGCGCGGGCUCAACCCGCGGACGGCACAUGAUACUGCGAGACUAGAGUAAUGGAGGGGGAACCGGAAUUCUCGGUGUAGCAGUGAAAUGCGUAGAUAUCGAGAGGAACACUCGUGGCGAAGGCGGGUUCCUGGACAUUAACUGACGCUGAGGCACGAAGGCCAGGGGAGCGAAAGGGAUUAGAUACCCCGGUAGUC